GACGAACGCUGGCGGCGUGCUUAACACAUGCAAGUCGAACGGUGAAGCGCUUUCCUUUUUGGUUGGUGUGGAUGAGUGGCGAACGGGUGAGUAACACGUGAGUAACCUGCCCCCUUCUUCUGGAUAACCGCAUGAAAGUGUGGCUAAUACGGGAUAUUCUGCGCCUGCUGCAUGGUGGGUGUGGGAAAGAUUGUGCCUUUGGGUGUUUUCGGUGGGGGAUGGGCUCGCGGCCUAUCAGCUUGUUGGUGGGGUGAUGGCCUACCAAGGCGGUGACGGGUAGACGGCCUGAGAGGGUGGACGGUCACACUGGGACUGAGACACGGCCCAGACUCCUACGGGAGGCAGCAGUGGGGAAUAUUGCACAAUGGGCGCAAGCCUGAUGCAGCGACGCCGCGUGAGGGAGGGAGGCCUUCGGGUUGUGAACCUCUUUCGCCAGUGAAGCAGGCCUGCUCCUUGUGGGUGGGUUGACGGUAGCUGGAUAAGAAGCGCCGGCUAACUACGUG
rnacentral:rRNA from 1 species